CGCGUCUACUGUACUCGCAACACUCAGCUCAGCUGAUUUCCAACAGGCUUUGAACUGCGACUGUCAAGAGGAAACGGAACCCCUGAAAUGCCUUAUAUCUCCAUGACAACAGGGACACUGAGCCCACAGGGAUUUGCAUCGACAAACGGCAUUGGCAUUUUCAUCAUGUAGCAUUUUAUGAGGGAAGUAUUUGAAUUUGACAAUUGACCAUGACAUUCAGGACCAAUCGUACCAAACACCGGCUACGUCACAAUUCAUCUUAUAUAACUGAUUGACACUAUUAAUAGAAUACUCCUCUCAUUAAUUACUUCUUACUUCUGGAUGGUAGUUCUCUUCAACCAUAAGCUGAGAAUGGCUUCACAUGAACAGCUUAAAGAUCCAUGGGGUUUCUCUGGAGGGUUAAACUCAAGAACCAUGAAGAUGG